AGCCAAGUCUACCGCUACUGGGCUCAAAGGUGAAUGAAUACUAGAUGAGGGUGCUUAUUUAGUGUGGCAAGUGAUUACAAGUUAAAAACUAUACACAAAAUACUUUAAACCACAAACAUGUACAGAAAGCGUCUCUCACAUGAGUUCCACCAACCACAUACUUGCUUAAGAAAAGCAGCUACAAACUUUUAGAUUCACAUGAGCAAAGAAACACCUAAAAGCUUACAUUCCUCCAAUAAACAAUCCAAUACUUUCACCUAUUUCAACAUUUAGGCAUAUCCUUACAGUCAAUACUUCGGGAUUGUGACAUACAUCCAUUAGAUGAGAUUUUU